rnacentral:sRNA from 1 species
AUUAAAAAUCAGGUUUGGCCGGGUGCGGUGGCUCACGCCUGUAAUCCCAGCACUUUGGGAGGCGAGGGAGAAUGAUGAAUCAGCAAAAGAAGAGAAAUCUGACCUAAAGGAAAAAUCUACAGGAAGUAAGAAAGCCAAUAGAUUUCAUCCUUAUUCAAAAGACAAGAAUUCGGGCACUGGAGAAAAGAAGGGUCCAAAUCGUAACAGAGUUUUCAUUAGCAACAUCCCAUAUGACAUGAAAUGGCAAGCUAUUAAAGAUCUAAUGAGAGAGAAAGGGUUGUGGUGUGGUUGAAUUCAAAGAUGAAGAAUUUGUAAAGAAAGCCCUAGAAACUAUGAACAAAUAUGAUCUUAGUGGAAGACCCCUUAAUAUUAAAGAGGGAGGCCUGAGGCGACGGAGAGAGAUGGGGAGCGGCUGGUCGGUGGAGCAGUCAGAACAUUUAUUGAUUAAGUUCGCUGUUUUAUUUGGGCACGGUUGAUGGUGCCCCAAAACAAAACAUCAAAGAUCACUGAUCACAGAUCACCAUAACAGAUAAUAAUGAAGAAUAAUUGAGAUAUUGCAUGAAUUACCAAAAU